rnacentral:rRNA from 1 species
AGAAUGAACGUUGGCGGCGUGGAUUAGGCAUGCAAGUCGAGCGAGAUCUGUAGCAAUACAGUGAAAGCGGCGAAAGGGAGAGUAAUGCGUAGAUACGUACCCUGGGGUUCAGGAUAGCGUCGGGAAACUGACGGUAAUACUGGAUAAUGUCUUCGGACCAAAGAUUUAUUGCCCUUGGAGCGGGUCUGCGUACCUAUUAGUUAGUUGGUGGGGUAAUGGCCUACAAGACUUAGAUGGGUACUGGGUGUGAGAGCACGACCCAGCUCACUGGGACUGAGACACUGCCCAGACACCUACGGGUGGCUGCAGUCGAGAAUCUUCCGCAAUGGGGGAAACCCUGA